UUAUGCCAGAAACUCAUUCACGAUUUCAUGAAUCCUUUUCCUGUGCAGCAGGUCGUCGGCUCAACGGAGGGACUCGGUCCUCGGGUCAGUUUUGCACCUCGGGCGGUGACUUCCGUUUGAUCUUCACUCUCUGUUCUAUCGAAACCGUAAAGAACAUGAGAUCAAAGGUGCUUUGAUGUCGGCUGAAGUCUGCAGACGGGUGAUUAUAAUCUACCUCAGCGCAGCUCACAGGAGGUAAAAUAAACCUGACCAGUCUGAACACGAACUGGUGGUUUGAUUAAGUCUAUAUUUUUUCAUCUUGUUCGGCCCCGUUUGAGAGCACUUAGCUCCAUCAGAGACGAAUGCUAAUUAAAAAAACAGGAGCUGGCAGAUUUGAAUAAUUAAAAUGUAAGCGCUGGAAUCUGCGUCUCUUCAAACUGAGUCUCCUGAAGUACCUCGAGAGACUCGUGUGGCCUUCUAGAAACCUCCUGCAGGAGAUCACCGAACGUACACAGGGACGCAGGAGAUAUGAAACCUUUGACGGACACCCUGAAUUUAAACCAGACCUACAGAACCACAGAAACAUUUGAAACUCCGUUUAAGUUCCUUGGGACUCCAAGGGGCUCCAACAAGACCUUAGGACUUUUUGAAAGUGGAUCACCAGAGUUAUGACUACAGAAUGCCUGAGCUCAUGACAAACCAUCCAAUAGUUGGUGAGAUAUUUCCCUCCAAAGACUUUUGUGACAUUUGUGAACCCCGUACAGGAAAACAGUUUAUUACGAGCUGUUUUUCACAUCAUAGCUACUGUCUGUGUGACAAACCAACCACGGUUACAGGCUCACUCAGAAUACCAGGUUUACAUUUAGCAAGGUGAGCACAUGUCCUCAUUUCCUGCUCCGUGCCCCCACUUCCUGUUACUGCCAGAACCUCCGAGAGAGGCCGAAAUGUCCCGCGGAAACAUUGUAAAUACCAGUUUCAAGCCUUCUCUGAUACAGCAUGAUGAGGAUAAUUUAGGAAAUUAUAGUCCGUCUGGAGUUAAAUAGACAGAUUGAGCUUUUGGGCGGAGGAUUCUUUUCUGAUUGACAGGUCACCACCACCUUCACUCGUCAAUCGGGUGUGAGGCGCCAAGCUGCCAAGACAAACAUGCAGAACCCAAAGCUUCAAAACAACUGUCCGCGUCACGAUACGACGGGCGAUCGUCUUCAUUCACGAUUGAUCUGCUGACUCGAUUCAUGAGUGAAUCUCUUGAUCUACACAAAGCGAUAAAUGUCGUUUAAUGAGUUGAAGGAGAAGAUCCGUGUUUGGUUUAAAUUAACAACAGUCGUUGCUGCGACGGGACAAAGGGACCGAUAUAGAUCCAGCUAUAUAUAGGAAAUGAAUACAGACGUCUCACUCCGCCCCAACGUCGGGAGCCGAAACCCGGACGCUCACAUUCUGCGUCAUAAUUACCACAUGACGAUUAGUUUGGACCACGUGCAUGAAAGACAGAUGAUUUGAUUUUACUUUGAUUAUACAAACACACCCAAGCGGUUUCUGUCUGUACUGGAGAGGGGAUUUUAAUACGUUUGGUUCUGGUUAAUGAUUUUAAACUGGACCGCUGCAGUAGCCUGAUUGAAUUAUGACAGCUGCCUGUGAUCAAUACAUAAAUAUGUUGUAAUUUAAUUCUUAUUAUUGUUCUCAAUGAACUUAAAUACUUGAGUAAAUUGGCUGUAAGUUACACAAAGACCCGAAAUCCCCAUCAGUCAGACUGAAGUCUAAACUGGAGGAGAAGAGAAGAGGAGAUGCGUUACCUUCCGCUCGACAAGAGGCCCAAAAGAGGAGCAGCCUCUCUGCAGCUGCUUCCUCCAGGUGGAGGUCACGUUGCCACAGCAACAGCCUGUUAAACUGCUGCACCCCAGAGAGAGAGAGAGAGAGAUGUUCAUCCACAUCCCACUGUGAUGCAGUUGUGUCUUUCGUGUCUAUUUUCUUCAGCUCAGUCAACAAAAAUUUGAAAAAAAUGUACUAUUCCUUCAUAGAAAGGAAAGGGGAGGACUGAGUCACCAAACUUAAUAAUUACUAUACAACAUUUGAAAUGAGCUAAUUAAUGAGGUCUUUACUAGUUUACUCAAACGUGACCCCGCCUCCAUGUACUACAGGUAAACGUGUGUAACAAUAAAUCCAAAUAGACAAACGGACUCAUUAGUCCGCCUCCCUUUCUGUAUUUCACACGCUAUCAAUAAGUGCUUUUUAGAGACCUCAUCAAACUGCUUUCUGUGCAUACUGAGGUUUUAAACUGUCCAUUUGCACAAUUUCAGCCAUUUCCAGCUGCACUGGUCCCGUCCAGCAGGGGGCGACAAAGUGUAAAAGAGACCUGGAGCGUCUUCAGAUGCUGAGGUGGAGGUGGAGAAGGUGUUAAUGAAAUCUAACACCCAACGGUUGUCUAUUGAUUCAAUGAACCACUCCGUUAAAAAAAAGCCCUGAAUGAACUUUAAAAACAGAACGUUUUUUUGGAUAAAGGAACAUUGUUCGCACAUGACUCCUCCUGGGUUGGAUGGAUUCAAAUUACGGGGAAGUUGGUGCAUGCGGCAGAACUUCCAAAAUCCCUCUAAGGAGACACCGAAGUGUCUUUACGCUGGUUCUUGCAUGAGGCCCUUAGUCAAAGAAGUUCGGUUUGGGUUUUAAAAACUCGACAAAUGUCAUCCUACGUCAGACUUGAACUCUUUGGUUUUCAUUUGAUUGAAUGUUGUAUAUCGAAUCUCAAUGAGUCACAGAGCUGCUGAUGAUGCUCAGCUCCACUGACUCGAUUCUCACCGUCAUCUCUCGUCUACGGCAAAUUAAGAAAAAUAAAAUGUCGACACAACCAGCCAAAGUAGAGCGCGGUUUGCGGUGUUUCAGCGUAACACGAAGAGAUCCACCCAGGUGUGUGAUGCCAGGAUACUAUUUUCAACCAAGGUGGUUACACGUUAGUCUGUGUGUGUGUGUGUGUGUGUGUGUGUGUGUGUGUGUUUUGUGACAGAUCACAGUCCCAGUUUGAAACAGUAACUAAUGAUUAAUGUUUCAAAAUGGUUAGGUUUAGUAUAAAACAUCUUGAGAUGAGUCACUGUAGUUGGACAUUGAAACCGAAACAAAACAGCCUUGGAGAGCUCUCAAUGGAGAGCAUUUAUUCUUCUCAGGAUCAGCAAAGUUAUUGUUAUUCAUCCUUUCAGGGGGUGGAUGAAUGUCUGAACCACAUUACCACCCAUAGAGCAACACGGCAGACAUAUGAAGUACAAAUCAGCACAAAAGUAAAAUAUUAUGAAUUCAAAGCUCAGUCCAGGGUCGAUGAAGCCUCGACGUCUCUGGGCGGCGUGGAGCGUCUUCAGAUGCUGAGGACCGUGCAUCAGGAACCGAUGGCCUCUCAUGGGUCUCCAUUCAGUUCCUGAUGCAGUAUCACCAACAUCAGGGAACCUGCCGAGAGGUUGAUCAUGCUCACCUGUACAUGAACACCGAUAAUAACUCACAGAGCAAGUGAAACACGCCACGUUUACAUAAAAGUGUUUCUGCCGCUUAGCAAGGUAAAUAACAGGGACAUUUCCAUUACUAACAAUUUCCCCUCCUUCUGAUAUACUUACUGUAUCUGAUAUACCCUUUACUGUAUCUGAUAGACUCUUUACUGUAUCUGAUAUACCCUUUACUGUAUCUGAUAGACUCCUUACUGUAUCUGAUAUACUCCUUACUGUAUCUGAUAUACCCUUUACUGUAUCUGAUAUACCCAUUACUGUAUCUGAUAUACUCCAUACUGUAUCUGAUAUACCCUUUACUGUAUCUGAUAUACUCCUUACUGUAUCUGAUAUACUCCAUACUGUAUCUGAUAUACCCUUUACUGUAUCUGAUAUACUCCAUACUGUAUCUGAUAUACCCUUUACUGUAUCUGAUAUACUCCUUACUGUAUCUGAUAUACUCCAUACUGUAUCUGAUAUACCCUUUACUGUAUCUGAUAUACUCCUUACUGUAUCUGAUAUACUCCUUACUGUAUCUGAUAUACCCUUUACUGUAUCUGAUAGACUCCUUACUGUAUCUGAUAUACUCCUUACUGUAUCUGAUAUACCCUUUACUGUAUCUGAUAUACCCUUUACUGUAUCUGAUAGACUCCUUACUGUAUCUGAUAUACUCCUUACUGUAUCUGAUAUACCCUUUACUGUAUCUGAUAUACUCCAUACUGUAUCUGAUAUACUCCUUACUGUCUCUGAUAUACCCUUUACUGUAUCUGAUAUACUCCUUACUGUAUCUGAUAUACUCCUUACUGUAUAUGAGGCACUUAAAUAAAUACUGUAAAAUAUCCAGCAA